rnacentral:hammerhead_ribozyme from 1 species
GUACUGCUGUCCAGUCCCAAACAGGAGGAAACAGUUGUCAAGUAU